rnacentral:rRNA from 1 species
AUGAACGCUGGCGGCGUGCCUAAUACAUGCAAGUCGAGCGAACGGACGAGAAGCUUGCUUUUCUGAUGUUAGCGGCGGACGGGUGAGUAACACGUGGAUAACCUACCUAUAAGACUGGGAUAACUUCGGGAAACCGGAGCUAAUACCGGAUAAUAUUUUGAACCGCAUGGUUCAAAAGUGAAAGACGGUCUUGCUGUCACUUAUAGAUGGAUCCGCGCUGCAUUAGCUAGUUGGUAAGGUAGCGGCUUACCAAGGCAACGAUGCAUAGCCGACCUGAGAGGGUGAUCGGCCACACUGGAACUGAGACACGGUCCAGACUCCUACGGGAGGCAGCAGUAGGGAAUCUUCCGCAAUGGGCGAAAGCCUGACGGAGCAACGCCGCGUGAGUGAUGAAGGUCUUCGGAUCGUAAAACUCUGUUAUUAGGGAAGAACAUAUGUGUAAGUAACUGUGCACAUCUUGACGGUACCUAAUCAGAAAGCCACGGCUAACUACGUG